ACCCUCCCCCCUGCCAGCCAUGGACGCGCGGGCGCGUGCCAAGCGCUACGAGAAGCUCGACUUCUUAGGAGAGGGGCAGUUCGCUACUGUCUACAAAGCAAGGGAUAAGAACAGCAACCGAAUCGUGGCUAUUAAAAAGAUUAAACUGGGACAUAGAUCAGAAGCUAAAGAUGGAAUCAACAGAACAGCCCUCAGGGAGAUAAAAUUGUUACAGGAGCUAAGCCAUCCAAAUAUUAUUGGUCUUCUAGAUGCAUUUGGACACAAGUCCAACAUUAGUUUGGUGUUUGAUUUUAUGGAAACGGAUCUAGAGGUUAUUAUAAAGGAUACUAGUAUUGUGUUGACACAAUCUCACAUCAAGGCAUAUAUGCUGAUGACACUUCAAGGAUUAGAGUAUUUACAUCAACACUGGAUUCUACACAGGGAUCUUAAACCAAAUAAUUUGUUGUUAGAUGAAAAUGGGGUUUUAAAAUUGGCUGACUUUGGCUUGGCAAAAUCUUUUGGAAGCCCAAAUAGAGUUUAUACACACCAGGUAGUAACAAGAUGGUACCGAGCCCCAGAACUAUUGUUUGGUGCUAGAAUGUAUGGUGUUGGUGUUGAUAUGUGGGCUGUUGGUUGUAUUUUAGCUGAAUUGCUCCUCAGGGUUCCUUUCUUGCCUGGAGACUCUGAUCUUGACCAGCUGACAAGGAUAUUUGAAACACUGGGCACCCCAAUGGAAGAACAGUGGCCUGGGAUGACAAGUCUUCCAGAUUAUGUUGCAUUUAAGUCUUUCCCUGGAAUGCCACUUCAACAUAUCUUCAGUGCAGCUGGUGAUGAUUUACUCAACCUUCUGCAAGGCUUAUUCACAUUUAAUCCUUGCACUAGGGUUACGGCUACUCAGGCAUUGAAACAGAAGUAUUUCAGUAACCGACCAGGACCCACUCCAGGAAAUCAGCUGCCAAGACCCAACUGUCCUGCAGAAGCUGUAAAGGAGCAACAAAAUGCACUUUUACAUUUAAAAAAGAGAAGAACAGAAGGAAUAGAUCAAGCCUCAAGAUUGCUUUAAGAGAUGGAGGGAGGUCCAGCUGGGAAAACUAUACCAGCCCUCUUGUCAACCUGUGGCUGUUGAACAAUUCAUAAUGCAGAUACUGGGCUAAGCUCUGUUGCGUGAUUUCCAGCAUGGCUGUGUUGCAAAGUGGCUGCUCGGUAACCAAGCUUCUGCAAUGGAGAGAAACAAGCCAGUAGGUGCUGUUGAUGCAGCUUAACCGCAUGCCCACCCCUGUUGUGCAGUGGAUCUCGGGGAUACCUGGUGAGCCAUUGUCAUUUUCCCACCUGUGAGCUGCUUUCAGCAUUUUGUUUUCUAGUGUAUGUAGCAAGUGUAUUAAUAGAAGACUUUGAGGCUUGUAGAGGAAGAGCAACCAUCUUCUUGCUCCUGUGUUAUUUCAUUUUACUCCUACCUUGAGCCAGUGUGAAGUAUGCUGGCCUUGUAAGACAGAACAGUUACUAAUCUCCCAAUACCCUACUGUGUUCUGUAUUGGUUAUUGGCAGUUGAAAAUUAAACUUAAAUUUCCUACUAAGAUCUAAUAGACAGUGUAGAGAAAAUGUUUAUCAAAUAACAUUAGUUACAGCAGUUUUUACUGUCUGUGUAAUCAAACAUCAUCAUCCUCCAUGCAGGCUGGGGGAUUAAGAGAACUGCAGUCCUAUUUCUCACAGGCAUAUGUACAAAAAUAUGUUAAUCUGAACAGGGAACAGAGUUAGGAGUACUGUGAACUUUUUUGCAUUUAACUUACGUAGGACAGCAUUCUGACUGGACUUCAAAGCCUGAAAACCUUCAGCCCCCUAAAACAGAUACUGCAUUUUUCAGUGACUAUCCUAACUAUUGGGUAUAACAAAUAGAGUUUGCAUGGCAGUGACAAUUUUAAGUAUUCUGUCAGCUCUGCUUUGACAGUAACACUAUUCCCUUCUUGUCAAAUGCUGCAUGUGUCUAGAUGAUACCCUUCCCUGAAGGAAACCUUUUCUAGUAGACCAAGUAGCAAUCCUCUAAGCUUCUAUUGUCAAAAGUUGUAGAGUAGGUACUGAGUUAGAUGGGCAGUCAGUGUUUGAAUGUAGGGAGCAUGGUUACUGUGCUCUUUAAUAGUGGGGUUGAAGAGAGAGGAUAUUUUGUGACCAAGGCUAUUGUCUUGUAUGCUUGGAGUCAUGUGUUUACCACAGCAGAUGCUCAAAAAUAGCAAUGCUUCUAUAUAAUGUAAGUUUAGGAGCUGUUCUCUUCCAGCUCCGACACUGCAAUUCAUUUGGCAUACUGUGUGCUGCAUGUAUGGUUGGGUCCUGUUCUGUACUGUGAGGGUAUAUAGUAAGUCUUGUUUGCAGCUGAGUUCAUGAAUGAGGCCACCUGUGUCAGGGACUAAAAUUGCCUUGCUCUUAAUGGUGGUGUUGUGCAUAGAUAAAGUGCAUGUAUAUCACAGAGUAAGAUAAGAUUAGAAAAAGGAUCAUCGUGAUUUUUUUUUCUUAAUCUGAGGCUUUUGGAUAGUUUGAUUUAACUUCUGCGACUUAGGUCAGAAGUCUGGAAGGAAUAUUUGAGACUCUGGGAAAAUAUAAUCUGGGUAAAUUAAUACGCAUUCAUAUGCUAUUAAUCAUCUAAAUACUGUUUAAUUUGUGACUUGGUUACCUUGUAAGCUUUAUAUCAUGCUAAUCAUGCUUCAGCUUUGACAAUCCAUCUUUUAUCACACCAACUCAUUGAAUAUACAGCUGCUGCAAUCUACUUGGCUUCUGUUCAGAACCACAACAGUCAAGGUUGGUUUGUCUUGAGCCUGCAAUGUGCAUGCUUGCACAAAGGUCCAAGUUGUACACUUGUGCAAACUGGAAUGUAACCUAAAUGCCUUCUCUCCUGGGUUGAGACAGUCCUUCCCUUACCACCUUUUUAUCAUGAGUUACUGCUGUUUCUUCCUGAAAGAUACCAGGAUUACUUGUGGUGGCAUGGAGAACAAGGACUGCUAGCUAUCACGUCCUCAUCUUGUCCCCCUGGUUCUCGAUUGGUGCCAACGCUGUGUGAUCCCUGCAGCCUUUUUGUUACGACAAAGAAGGCUCAGAGCCAGAUUGAGUUGUAACAGAGUUGUUGCUUUGCAUUUAUGGUAUGCUCUUUUUCAUGGUGUGGCCUUGAUGCUGUCAGGACUCCAGGCAGCACUGCCAGUCCUUUACUUUUACCUGUGUUCAUUCUUGGCUUUUGUGCCUGUUCUUGUUCUCUUGACUGACUGCAUGUAUACUGCUCAGUUAACACCUACUCAGCCAUUUCUUCUUGUGCACAAAUGUUUAUGCUCCAUGUGCUCCAAUGUAAUGAUUCAUUUACAGAGCAGGUUUCACCUGUGACCUUUUAAUACUCAUUUGCCUCUCUGAGAGAAGGGAGAAAUUCUUUAAAAAAAGGCUAUCGUUAGGCCUGCUUUUCUUUUGAAUCCCUCUGUUCCCCCUUGCAUUUCAUACUCAACUGUGUUGACUUUGUCUCUGAGGUAAGGUAUUCUCUCCAUCAGGCUGUAAUAAAAUCACAGGGUAAAACAGGGAUAGGUCUGGAUGUAAUUUGUCAGGCUGAGAUAGAGAAACUUCUUGGAGAGCUAUACUGAGUGCUUUGAACGCUUUUGGCAGGCUGUGUUUUGACAUACACUUUGCUGAUAUUCAGUAGUGUGAGAGGCUGGGGAAAAGACAUGCAUGGCUGCAGUCUCUUUUUGGCUCCAAAAUACAGCACUGCCUAGGAAAACUUUCUGUUGAUUCUAACCUUCCCGAAGACCUGCUCGGAAUUAGAUUUGUUCCUCUUGUAGCCCACCACCACUACCAAGAAGGGUCCAGAAGCAGCUCUGUUCUCGCUAGCUUGAGAACUCUGCUUGGCCAAACUUUGUUCGUUGUAUAAUGCCAACUUCUCACUUUCAAGCUUCCCCAGGUACAGCAGGAAUAAAAUCUUAGCUUUGAUGCUAUUGAACUAGCUUUGUGUCAUCUCUGUGGUCAAUUCUAGUUUGUUUUGGUUUGUUUUCUUCUAUUUGUGAGCACUUACUCAGAAAAUGUCUAUUUAUUUCCUUUUAGAAACUCUUUCAAAUAAAAGGACAGGGGGUUGGGUGGGGAGGGGUCUGUCUCUUCCUUCCAAAGAAUUAAAUCCACAGGCAGGCAGGUCCUGCACAAGGAUUUUCUGAGAAGCUUGCUGUGUGGUCAGUACAGAGGCCAUCAGGGUUGUGACAGUUUCCUUUAGUCCUGUCAGCUCAAAUUGUGCCCAGAAACCUUCACACUAACAGCAUUCAUUGCUGUGAUAAGAAGAGAAUAGUAUGCAGAGAAGGGAGGAGGAGAGGGGGAAUUUCACUCUUAAUUAGAAAGCAUUAGUGCAAUGUGGUUUAUGCCUACUACGAGAUAUUUGUGCAACUUCAGCAGGGACACUGACAGUUACACGAAGCUGACUUAGCUCACAACCUGUUGUCAAUGUGGUUUGGUUUUGGGAAACCUCCAGUUUGGGCCAGGCUGGUAGGCAGGUACCCUGAAAGAAUACCUACACUGUCCUGCAUGGAUUUGCCAUCUGUGAAUGAAUCUGUCUGUCUCUUUUUUUUUUUUUUUUCUAAGGGAAGAAGUUCACUGACAAAGAAAAUUAACAGAUAAUUAACAAAGUAUUGCAAUCUGACAGUUCUGAAGAAGCUUGCUACUGGGUUGACAAAUGUAAAACUGUCUUUUUCUUGCUACUUGAAAUUUACCCAUAUGUUCAGGAGCUUCCUCUGGUUUUCUCACAUCAGCAUCCUUAGGAAGUCAACAGUGCAGAAAGACAGUGCCACCAUGGUUUCUAUCUUUAUAUAUGAUGGUGGAAAGCUAUUUUAAUCUAUCAGACUUAAUUGCAGUUAAAAUGCUGAUUUACAGUCGGAUCAGCUUUUCCUGCCACUAGAGGGAGUGUCUGACAGAGAAAUAAGGCAGAUGGUCGGAUGUGGUAACAACUGUGUGACCUUAACCUAACCCUUGUCUCUCCCAUAAUCAUCACUCUGCCAGCUUGGAGGUCCUUGUAAGGAUGGAGAGCUGGGCUGUCUCUCAGCAUGCAGCUUGAGCCUGCUUAACUUCGUAUUCUUGUAGAACUUCUUUAAUAAGACCUUUUAUAUUGACCUUAUCUAGUAACUUGGGCGCAUGCAAGCUUCCUUUAUUUCAUGUGUCACUCACUAACUCCAGUAAGAGUUAGGGCCUCAAGCCAGCACCAGGCUCCCUGCUGCUGGCUGGUGACCUGAGUGUCAGAAAUGUGUAAGUGUGCUGGGAAACACUGCUGUCUCCUUUUCUCCUAGCACAAUGUUUCCUUACUGUCAUCUGACUUGAAUGUCUGCAUCAGUUAUUUGUAAGGUAAAGGUAUUAGCUGUGAUUAAUAAACCUGAGACAUCACAUAAUAAAAUACUGAUUUAGGAAUGAAAAGCUAUACUGCAUACAGUUGCUGAGAGGUCAGAAAGAAUGACACUUAUAACUGGCAUUACAUGGUAUUGUGCUAAAAAGGGUCAACAAAGAGCGUGCAAAUGCAGCACCUGAAGAGUUCAGCACGAAGUUGUGUAAUACUACUUCUCUGUACUUUUGUUACAAAAAUUAACCUACUCAGAAAGGUUUAGCUGGUGCAUUUCCUUAAUAGACAAUGCAGAUCUUAAUCCACUUCGAAUUAACAUUGGCAUGAAAAAACAACUAAGCAACCAGUUUGUUAAACUAUCAUUCUCAAAAUAAAAGUGUGUUUUUUUAAGCAAAUUUGCCUGGAA